rnacentral:rRNA from 1 species
UACGGAGGGUGCAAGCGUUAUCCGGAUUCACUGGGUUUAAAGGGUGCGUAGGUGGGCCCGUAAGUCAGUGGUGAAAUCUCCGAGCUUAACUCGGAAACUGCCAUUGAUACUAUAGGUCUUGAAUUAUCUGGAGGUUAGCGGAAUAUGUCAUGUAGCGGUGAAAUGCUUAGAUAUGACAUAGAACACCGAUUGCGAAGGCAGCUCACUAAGCAGACAUUGACGCUGAGCACGAAAGCGUGGGGAUCAAACAGG